AAAAUACAAAAAUAAAGGGAUAGACCUAGACCUAUACAAUAUAGAUCCCUAGACUAGAGCUGACAGUCGCUGGAACACAGAGGAGAUCCUCCCCCCCUGAUUUUUUUGAUCUUCUUCGAACCCCACCACCCCUGAAAUGAGCAACCCUAGAAUUUCUUCGCCUCCAUUCUCACACCUUCAGAGAACGACCGACCAUCCCCUGAACCAAGAGUAAACCAGCGACCACCUUCCUCAGCAGAACCCUUCAUACACCCUUAGUCAUCUGGUCAUAAUAGUUUAGUUAAAAAUGUGAAAAUUAGGCAUCAUUUUUUAUGCCUUGUAAGAGAAUUGAAUCUUAAAGUUCCAUUCGCAUCUGCUGCCUAAAGGAGGUAAUUGUUUCCUCAUGAGAAUCUGACACGCCGAUCAACUGCUACAUUGCCUUUUAUUGUAACAACUUCUGGGUAUCGACGUACAAAAACUCUCUGCCAUCCCAAAACCAUUUUCCAAGUCGAGUAGAUUUUGAGGUCGUCGACAAGAUUUGAGUCUUUCCGGCGAAGUUCGGUCAGUUUGUCGCUAGUCAAGGCUCCGUUCGAGUCCUUGCCUAUUAGUCGAUAUUCAAGGCAGUCUUGUGAAGUUUUCCGUUCAUUAAUUUUGAAAGAAGCAGUCAAGCAAUUGUAAAGGUUCAUUCUCUUCUACUCUUAAACAAAUUGCGUAAUUUCGAUUAGCCUUAACAGUGUUUCAUUGAGUUAUCUGUUAAUUGUGUUAAUCUGAGGUGAUGGAAAUCAUGUUGGAACUAUUAAUUUAGAUAUUUUAUUGGCUUUAAGUUGUUGAUCAUGAAUGAAGACUCUAAUUAAAAUGUUUUAAAUGUCGACGAGCCAGAGUUCACGUUUGGUUUGCUAUUUUCAUAUUAUAUCUGCAUCUCUUAAUUUAUUUCUAUUUUGUCUCUUUUUUCCAUAAUGAAUUUUUUUAAUUGAACCUUGUUGCAUUUCUUGAUUAAUUGGUAUGGAAUUUGAUCGUCUUGGUGAGAUACGAACUCUAGACAUAUUAAGGUCAAGAUUUCAAUCUCUGCCUGGUGCAUUCAACUCUUACUUGGUGCCUUCUGACAAAACUGACAAAAAGAGAUUUUCCCUCUCCAAGAUUUUUAAUGAGGUUUCACCCAGUAAGAGAAGUGAAGCUGCAAAAUUCGCUCAGCUAUGGAAUGAAUUUAUAUGCAGUUUCUGUGAAGAAGAUCUUAUAAGUGAUAGGGAGAUGGACCUAUUACUUGUUCCUUAUUCCUCGGACCCCAGUCUGAAAGUAUUCAAUGGCCACCCUUUUUGCUUGCUAGCAAGAUCCCAAUUGCAUUGGACAUGGCUUCACAAUUUCGUUCUAGAGAUGCUAACCUUUGGAAGCAUAUAUGUGCAGAUGAAUACAUGAAGUGUGCUGUCAUUGAAUGUUAUGAAUCUUUUAAACUUGUUCUUAAUGCCCUGGUUAUUGGAGAAACUGAGAAAAGGAUCAUAGGAAUCAUCAUAAAAGAAGUUGAAAACAACAUUUCAAAGAGCAGAUUCUUUGCGAAUUUCAGAACAGAUCCUUUGCAAAACCUUUGCAAGAAAUUUGUUGACCUACUUGAGAUACUGAGAGAUGGAGAUCCAUCUAAAAGGAAAAACAUUAUCAUAGCUACGGGUACGGUUCCCGUGACGUAGUUAUGAUCCUAAUUCCCAACCCGGGUGUGCAUUUCAUGUGACCCAACUUUAAUUCCCAACAAGGUUAAAUAGAACGUGUCGUGAACCACAGGUGCAUUUCAUGUAGCGUGGUUUACGAUGUGUUUUAAAUAACCUUAAAUUUUCCCGAAAUAUUAAAAGCGGAUAUAAAAUUAAAAAUACAUAAUAGGUUUAAAACCUGUAAAAAAUCAGAUAAAUAGGCCAAUAAUAAUAGUUGAGCGACCGUGCUAAAACCAUGGAACUCGGGAGUGCCUAACACCUUCUCUCGGGUUAACAGAAUUCCUUACCCGGGUUUCUGUGUUUCGCGGACUGUAAAAUCGAGUCAAUCUUUCCUCGAUUCGGGAUUUAAAACCGGUGACUUGGGAUACCAUAAAUUAUCCCAAGUGGCGACUCUGAAUUUAAUUUAAAUAAUCUCGUUUCGAUUGUCACUUAAAUUAGAAAAAACUCCCUUAUACCCCUUUUAGGGUGGAAAAAAGAGGUGUGACAGCUCUGGCGACUCUGCUGAGGACAAGAACCCAGAACCUUUGGUUCAAGGUUCAGAAUUCGAGCUUAAAAUAACUGUUAUAGUUGGAUUUUAUUUAUUUUCUGAUUUUUAUAUGUUUGAGCCUAAUGUGCUAAUUGUCGCUUUUUACCACUUUGAUAUUGUUGGACUGUAUAUAAAUUGUUACAAAACCCUCCUCUCUCUGAGUCUUCUAAAUCAUCUGGAAAGUGUGCACUUCGUGUGACUUCUCUUCUGUUAGAGUCAUACUCCAAUUUUAGAACGAGGUUCAGACAAGUUGCAAAGCCAGUGAAGCUUCUGUAUUCCCGGUACGCUGCCCCCCUCGGCUCGAGCUGUCGGCUCGGGUAAGCCAGGUCUAAAACAUAUAAACCCAGGUUUUUAAACGUAGAAUAACAUAGCCUCAUGCCGGAUCCCUAGUAGGAACGCUUGUUUGCAUCCCGUGCAUCUGACUAUGAGGACUCAACACAGGGGUUGGGUCCGUCUAGGACAGGUGCACCCAAAAUAACAGACCAUCUUGAUGCAUCUUAUGUGCUAUAUGUUGCAUUUCUUCAAGGGUAAAAGGGUCAUUUGGCGGACUAAUGAUAGUUGAGGGCAAAAAAAAAAGAGAAAGAAAAGAGGGUGAAGUAUGAAAAUAAAGCAAGUAGGGCUAAGUUAUGUUUUUCUUUUACAUUUUUUUUAAGAAAAAGACAAAAAGAUGAACAUGAAAAAAAAUCCAAAAAGAUUUUGUAUUUUCCCUUUAUUUUUUUUUAAAAAAGACAAAAAUAUGUUUUCUCUUAAUUAGUUGUUUUUUUUAUUAUUUCUCAACCGUAUCCAAUCUGCCUGAACUACGCAUACCUGAUUCUCGUCUUUUGGGGCGUGAUACGUAGUCAACCCACAUAGGAUUCGGUCUUCCUAGUAAGUCUUAGGUUCUUGGCUUCGCGGGGUCUUAGCCAAAUCUUGCAUUUUUAGCCACUUUUUGCCACAUAUGUUAAUUUUAGAAAAUAAUCACAAUCAUGUCUUGCAUGUGUCCAACAGGAAGGAUUAUUGUCUCACAUAGAGUUCUAGGUCUUUAACUUUAUUUGGUCUUAAUUGUUUUCCAUACAGGUAUGGAUCUACUCACUGGAGUUUCACCAUGAAAGAGCCCCAGGACCAUCUAGUCAGCAUCGCUUAUUCAGGAGUGGAUUAAAAGGAGAUUUUCUUUUCUUUUUUAUUUUUUGAAUCUGUUUUUCUUUUUAUGUAGUCUUUUACCUUCUAGUUUUGUACAGUAAUGUCGAAUCUUUUAGGUGAUGUUAGAGUUUGUCAUAGUCUAGUUAAUUUUGCCGAGUCUGUUGUUAUUGUAUUUCUCAUUUUGUACUUGGAAAUGUGUUACAAGUCAAAAUCCAAAAAAAAGAAAAAAAAAGAGAAAUUUUGCGUUUUUAUAUUUCCCUUGGAAGUUUUCUUUAGAAUACUAAUUCUAGGAAUUAAAA
rnacentral:lncRNA from 1 species